UUCGUUCCGUGGCUAACUGACAGAAGAGAGUGAGCACACAGCGGGCAGACUGCAUCGAUCGAUCUGCAUCCGAGACGGCGCACGUACGAAUGAUGAUGCAGCUGCUGCUGCGUGCUCACUUCUCUCUCUGUCAGUCCUCUAGCUGCUACGGC